rnacentral:misc_RNA from 1 species
GGAAGAGCCAAAUCCCAAUGCCAAUGUGAAACUAGCUUCGAUGAACGGUUCAUCUGUUGUUCCUAUAAUCAACGAACUCCAGAACAUUAUAGCUCCGGCCGAUGGCAAACUUUCAAGAUAUCACUACCAAAGGCAAUGGUGCUUGGUAGCCAGAGCAGCAAGAAGUCUAGUAUGCUUGAUGUUCUUGUUGGCCACGACUUUCUUCGUCGUGGUUGUAAUAUUUGCACUCCACUUGUUUUGAUGUUGGAGAAUUGGUUGCUUAUUGAUGAUGGCACUGAGGUGGCGAGUUUCGACACUUGCUUGACAAGUGUUUUCACGAUUUCUCCAAAAUUAGCAGAGAGAUAUAAGUUAAUUGUUUGGUAUUAAUUUAUUAUAUUUC